rnacentral:tRNA from 1 species
GCCUAGUUAGCUUAGUUGGUAGUGCGUCUGCCUUGUAAGCGCUAGACCGCGGGUUCGAUUCCCGCCCGGGCG